rnacentral:rRNA from 1 species
GGCAGAGGGUGCAACCGUUGUUCGGAAUUACUGGGCGUAAAGCGCGUGUAGGCGGCUAUGCAAGUCGGGCGUGAAAUCCCACGGCUCAACCGUGGAAGUGCACUCGAAACUGCGUAGCUAGAGUCCUGGAGAGGAAGGUGGAAUACUUGGUGUAGAGGUGAAAUUCGUAGAUAUCAAGUGGAACACCGGUGGCGAAGGCGGCCUUCUGGACAGUGACUGACGCUGAGACGCGAAAGCGUGGGGAGCAAACAGG